UAUUUAUGAGACUUUGUUUAAAGAGAGGGAAUGGAGAACGUGGCUCGAGCUAGGAGUGUCAGCAGACAGCAGGAACCAGAGGAAAAGCUAUCGAGAGACUGAACACCUGGCUGCUGAUGGGAACAAUCCAACGGGAAUUCUGCAACAGAGGGAGAAGAAGUUGCUGGACGGGUACAAUGUUGUGAUCUUUGGUGGAGUGGAUGGCUACUCAAGGAAGGUCCUGUACUUGGAUGCAACAACUAACAACAGGGCAAAAACUGCAUUCUCAUUUUUCCUGAGAUCAGCCCAGCUUCACGGCUUGCCAUUAAGGGUUAGGGCAGAUCAAGGAGUAGAAAACCUGGACAUUGCACAUUUCAUGUUUGCCACAAGAGGAACAGGGAGAGGGAGUUUCAUAUCUGGAAAGAGUGUCCACAAUCAGAGAGUAGAACGACUUUGGCGUGAUGUCUGGAUUGCAGUCACUAGCAAGUACCAUGAUAUUCUUCACUCACUCGAGGAGGAUGGCCUGCUUGACAUUUCAGAUGUCAUUCAUCUCUUUGGUGUCCACUACGUCUUUGUCCCUCGACUCCGAGCAGAUCUUGUCACCUUUGUUGGAGGAUGGAAUAAUCAUCCCCUCAGGACAGAAGGUGGUCUCACUCCUGAACAGCUCUGGUGUAUGGGACAUCUACAAGAGCUGGACGAUGGCGAGAGACUUGAGAGUCCACAAUAUUAUCAACAGCUACGUCCACCCUGGGGGGAAACUAGUGAGGGAGACCAUCAGGACCAAACUGGGUUUCCUGGAUCCAGAGGUUUGGGGAAACCUCCUCCCUUUCUUUCAUCACAGCUGUCCUGUGCCAGAUGUUCUGUUGACCCACUGAGAGAGGCAUCAUUUCAGAAACAUCCGGAAGACUGAAGGUCAUUAAAAAUCAUUCAGACUGGUUUUUUUACCUGAAUGUUCGAAACAAACUUUUUUUUUUUUUAAAAACAGUGCUGAAAAAGUCAUCAGUGGUUAAAUUAAAAAUAAAUUUCAACUUAAGCUGCCAAACAGCCGUAGUUGGUGUCAGUACAUAAAUAUUGGGCUUUGCUAUUUUAGUUCACAGACACACUGUGUAACAAACUGCACUUUCCUAUCACGUCUGUGUGUUUGCUUGUGCUUAAAUUAUGUCAGAUGCUAAUUUCAAGUACAUGUUCAUUUUGUCUAUUAUCAUCUCAUUAAAGUAAGAAAACGUCUCCAAAUUUCUCAAGUACAUUGACUCUUCACUUAUUACAUCCUGUUUCAAAACACUGAUGGCAGCAGUAAAACUUCAGCUUGAGACAUCACAAGAAUUUACAAAGCAACACAUAAUGCACAAGUGGGAACUUGGAGAAGUAAAUACUAGUAUGAAAUAUGCAUCCAGUCUCUUCUAGUUAUCCUUACCAGGGUUGCGGGAGGAGUAACAUGAAAUGGUUUUAUAAGACAUGAAAGAAUAAAGAAGUCUUGUCUCAGUUUCAGUUUUCAUACGGGUAGAAGGUUUAAGAUAGGACUUGAUUAUAGAGGACUGGACUGAGGUUCCAGUAAUGAUAAAUGAUCAUUUAAUUGAUUUCAUCACGUAAAUAUUAUUUGUCACAUCUGGAAACCACAUUGAAUUUAAGAAAAUGUUGCUGUUUUUGUUGUGUGUAUGAAUAUGAAAUAGUUAUUGCUAAAUGACACUGAAGUGUCACUUUUUGUUAAGUUCAAAUGUAACAAAGUUAAAAAUUGUUAUACGUGGACGUAUGGGAGAAGACUGUAAUUAUAUAGUGGUUCUUUAGUUUUAAAAUAAAAUGCAAAAGCCCUGGCAUCGUCUCAGUGACGACACUGGGUCAUAAUUAGCAGACAUCAUGGACUCGAUCAUGGACACAUCACUCACCCAAAUCAAGCAGAAAGCAUCUUUUGUUUCUUUUCUCUGCCAGGAUCUGUUCUUGAGAACAUAUAUUGCAUUUUAUUCAGGUUGCUGCCUUCAGCACAUCUGUAUAACUGUAUAACACAUCUGUAUAACUGUGUUGCAUACAUAUAAUUGUUGUAAGUGAUGAUGAUAAAUUCAAAGAUGUCAGGUGUUGCCGUGUCAGUAAUGCUGUAUGCCUCUUGCAGACUAACAACACCAACACUUGUAAUGAUGCUUUAUUCAAAUUUAUUGUCACUCAGCGACAAACAGCUACAUGUUACUGAUCUAUGAAAUCAAUUCCUCUGCAGUCACUUCCAGGAUUAGCCUUUGAAGUCAUUCUGUUGCAUUCAGACUGAUGAAUAUUUACCACACUGUAAAGUUCAGGAUAAUUUGCUGAUAUGGGCUGGGAAUGAUACAGCCGAUACCUGCAAACAGUUCAGUAUUAGAAAUAUUCAAUAGAUGUAUCAAUAAAGUAUGAUAAGUUGAAUACAACAAGAAAUGUUAUGGAACAUUUUACAGUGAGCUUACCAACUUUGGUUGGUUUGAAUUCACUGUUUGUGACAUUGGCCAGCAGCUGCCAGUAGGUACGAGCUUCAUUAUUCCCAGCCACGCCAUUCACACUCUCCAGAUAUGGCCCAUAGUUAUCAUUGUCACUGUAGGUGAAUUUGUGAGAAAGAAAAGACCUUGUAAAUGAUCAACAACAGCAGUCAGGCUCAGUAUUUGAGCUCACUUCCUCAGCAAAUUUCCUGUUACGUGGCAGCUGUGUUUGCAUUUCUUCUUUCUUGUUCGGACUAACGUGGUUCGGGUGAGGGAACGUUAUGAGGUGUUAUGUAUGUGUAACAUGACGAUGAAAGUCAUCAUGUAUAAGAGUAUAAACAGCCACUUAAAGUUAGAAACGGCCAAAGACAAAACACUGACCAUCAGUUUUGAAAACAAACAGCAGCCUUCCUGUCCCAAACAUCACCAAGACGUGCUCUCAGUGCUGAGUUAUGGCUCUGCAACUACAUCAGCUCAGUAUAAUUAGUAUGGCUGCUACGGGUCACUCUAACUUCAAAGAAAGUGUAUAUCCGAUUGGUUAAUUUGGGUAGACGAUUGAUGUCCAGAUAAUCUCAAAUACUUACUAUACAGAAGAUCCUUAUGUCACCAAAGUGGUGUUUUUUUAAAGCUACAUGUUUGGCAAUUGGCUAUCAUAGAUUUUAAAAAUACAAUUAAUUUCAAGUCCAGAUUAAAAACCUAUUUUUAUUCCCUGGC